rnacentral:rRNA from 1 species
GACGAACGCUGGCGGCGUGCUUAACACAUGCAAGUCGAACGGAAAGGCCUCAGCUUGCUGGGGUACUCGAGUGGCGAACGGGUGAGUAACACGUGGGUGAUCUGCCUUGCACUCUGGGAUAAGCUUGGGAAACUGGGUCUAAUACCGGAUAUGAACUGCCUUUAGUGUGGUGGUUGGAAAGUUUUUUCGGUGCAAGAUGAGCUCGCGGCCUAUCAGCUUGUUGGUGGGGUAAUGGCCUACCAAGGCGUCGACGGGUAGCCGGCCUGAGAGGGUGUACGGCCACAUUGGGACUGAGAUACGGCCCAGACUCCUACGGGAGGCAGCAGUGGGGAAUAUUGCACAAUGGGCGGAAGCCUGAUGCAGCGACGCCGCGUGGGGGAUGACGGCCUUCGGGUUGUAAACUCCUUUCGUCAGGGACGAAGCUUUUUGUGACGGUACCUGUAUAAGAAGCACCGGCUAACUACGUG